GUCUUUAAAGUAGUGCAUGAGGGCACCUGGGUGGCUCAGGAGGUGAAGCAUCUGCCUUCAGCUCAGAUCCCAGGGGCCUGGGAUCAAACCCUGCAUCGAUCCAAGGACACCUGGCCUCAGGUCUGGUGGCCAUGGGCAUACACCUCAUGGACAAACGGGGUCCGGCUGGCUGCUUUUGUUGGCAGAUGAGAAUUUAGGAGAGAGAGAGAAAAAAGAGACAUUUUCAUUAUCAGCAGGAUGGGGACUUCAAGUCAUUUAUUUAAUUUGAAGAUUUUGAGGACCGGAUCUUGGUUUGGAAUGCCAAGCCGGAGGAGGAGGACACAGCGCGAUAUUUGAGUUUUCCAAGUGCUGGUAAACAUUCACCUCGAGUGACUUUUCCACACUCCUGUGAGGCAGGCAGGGCAGCCAUAACUUAAAUCGACUUUGCAGAUGAAGCAAAUGAACCCAGGGAGAGUUUGAAAGACCGCCCCCACCAGAAACACAGAGGCCAGCUCGACCGGAAGCCAGGCCCACAGACUCACAACAUGGGUGCUUCUGUCCAAGCUCCUUUGUGUUGUGAGAAGCAAAAACUCUAAGUUGCCAGAGUAGGGACAACUGUUCCUAGGAUCCUCUGGGGGCUGGCCUUUGGACAGGGGAGCUGGCUUUGGGGUAUAUCACCCUCAUGGUAUUCCCCCCCCCCCCCCCCCCCCACUGAGCCCAGUUCUUCCCUGGGCCCAGGCUUGUCUGCUGCUCUGGCCAAAUAAUUAGAGAGGAUCUUUCUGGGUCACUCUUUCCUGAGGACAAAACAAGCCCUUUGGUUUCUCGAUUAGAAAGCUCAACAGAUUGAGUGACAAGGAAAAGUUUUUGAUCUUGCUCUUAGAGUCACCUAAUUAAAACAAAAUGCAGAUGCCGAACACCUAGUAAUUUUCACCUCACUUACUUGGGAUCCAAUUACAGCCCUUCCCUACUGACUUACACUGUUUAAAUUACAAAGUCAGGAGGAAAUAUGACUAUUUACCUAUUUCUGUUUAUACAUAUAAGUCUAACACAUUAUCUUUUCUCUCCAACCAAGAAAUGUGAUCACAGGUCUUCUCUUCACCCUGGAAACAGAGGGGGAUGAAUCCUGGUCCUUAAAUAAAAGUAAACACCAGUAAGAACUGAAUUCAGCCAAUACCUGGGUCCAACUUCAAUAGACAGCUCUGUUUCCCACACCAAAAAAUAAAAGCUGUCGGUCUCAGAUGCCAGCCGUGGCCCCUUCGGCUGCCUAGCCCGUUGGCUGUAUUGGGACAGCCACCCCUUAGGGCCUGCGGUCUAAAAGCCCUCAGCAGAAACCGCUCACCCUGCCACCAGCAAGCAACAAUCAAAGAGUUGGGUUAUCUGAGGCACUUCUUGAGUCUGAGCGAGGAGAUCCCGGGGGCCCCAGCGAGAAUGCCGGCUGCACCUGUCUGUUCUUGUCACCCCUUCACCAGACCGGAACAAAGCUGACUGCGGCGAGAGCCACCGUUGCGGGUAUCUGGUUGCAAUGCAGGGAUGGUCUGGCUUCCAACCGGUCUGAUUCUAGCUCCAGCCCGCCCCCUCGACUCAGCC